UGGGGAAUAUUGGUCAAUGGGCGAAAGCCUGAACCAGCAAUGCCGCGUGAGUGAUGAAGGCCUUCGGGUUGUAAAGCUCUGUCAGCGGGAACGAAUAAGCCGGUUAAUACCCGGUGGUGACGGUACCCGCAAAGGAAGCACCGGCUAACUCUGUGCCAGCAGCCGCGGUAAUACAGAGGGUGCAAGCGUUGUUCGGAAUUACUGGGCGUAAAGCGCGUGUAGGCGGUCUAGCAAGUCGGUCGUGAAAUCCCUUGGCUUAACCAAGGAACUGCGUUCGAAACUACUAGGCUCGAGUGUCGGAGGGGAUGGCGGAAUUCCCGGUGUAGAGGUGAAAUUCGUAGAUAUCGGGAGGAACACCUGUGGCGAAGGCGGCCAUCUGGAAGAUUACUGACGCUGAGACGCGAAAGCGUGGGGAGCAAACAGG
rnacentral:rRNA from 1 species